CCAGACUCCUACGGGAGGCAGCAGUGGGGAAUAUUGCACAAUGGGGGAAACCCUGAUGCAGCAACGCCGCGUGAGUGAAGAAGUAUUUCGGUAUGUAAAGCUCUAUCAGCAGGGAAGAAGAAGGACGGUACCUGACUAAGAAGCCCCGGCUAACUACGUGCCAGCAGCCGCGGUAAUACGUAGGGGGCGAGCGUUAUCCGGAUUUACUGGGUGUAAAGGGAGCGUAGACGGUUAAUCAAGUCUGAAGUGAAAGCCCGCGGCUCAACUGCGGAACGGCUUUGGAAACUGAGUAACUGGAGUGCUGGAGGGGCAGGCGGAAUUCCUGGUGUAGCGGUGAAAUGCGUAGAUAUUAGGAGGAACACCAGUGGCGAAGGCGGCUUACUGGACUGUAACUGACGUUGAGGCUCGAAAGCGUGGGGAGCAAACAGGAUUAGAUACCCCUGUAAC
rnacentral:rRNA from 1 species